rnacentral:rRNA from 1 species
AACGAACGCUGGCGGCAUGCCUAACACAUGCAAGUCGAACGAGACCUUCGGGUCUAGUGUCUCACGGGUGCGUAACGCGUGGGAACCUGCCCUUAGGUUCGGAAUAACUCCCCGAAAGGGGUACUAAUACCGGAUAAUGUCUUCUGACCAAAGAUUUAUCGCCUUUGGAUGGGCCCGCGUUGGAUUAGCUAUUUGGUAGGGUAAAAGCAUACCAAGGCGACGAUCCAUAGCUUGUCUGAGAGGAUGAUCAGCCACACUGAGACUGAGACACGGCCCAGACUCCUACGGGAGGCAGCAGUGGGGAAUAUUGGAAAAUGGGCGAAAGCCUGAUCCAGCAAUGCCGCGUGAGUGAUGAAGGCAUUAGGGUUGUAAAGUUCUUUUAACCGGGAUGAUAAUGACAGUACCGGGAGAAUAAGCCCCGGCUAACUCCGUG